UGAACGCUAGCUACAGGCUUAACACAUGCAAGUCGAGGGGCAGCAUUUCAGUUUGCUUGCAAACUGGAGAUGGCGACCGGCGCACGGGUGAGUAACACGUAUCCAACCUGCCGAUAACUCGGGGAUAGCCUUUCGAAAGAAAGAUUAAUACCCGAUGGUAUAAUCAGACCGCAUGGUCUUGUUAUUAAAGAAUUUCGGUUAUCGAUGGGGAUGCGUUCCAUUAGGCAGUUGGUGAGGUAACGGCUCACCAAACCUUCGAUGGAUAGGGGUUCUGAGAGGAAGGUCCCCCACAUUGGAACUGAGACACGGUCCAAACUCCUACGGGAGGCAGCAGUGAGGAAUAUUGGUCAAUGGGCGCAGGCCUGAACCAGCCAAGUAGCGUGAAGGAUGACUGCCCUAUGGGUUGUAAACUUCUUUUAUAUGGGAAUAAAGUUUUCCACGUGUGGAAUUUUGUAUGUACCAUAUGAAUAAGGAUCGGCUAACUCCGUGCCAGCAGCCGCGGUAAUACGGAGGAUCCGAGCGUUAUCCGGAUUUAUUGGGUUUAAAGGGAGCGUAGGUGGACAGUUAAGUCAGUUGUGAAAGUUUGCGGCUCAACCGUAAAAUUGCAGUUGAUACUGGCUGUCUUGAGUACAGUAGAGGUGGGCGGAAUUCGUGGUGUAGCGGUGAAAUGCUUAGAUAUCACGAAGAACUCCGAUUGCGAAGGCAGCUCACUGGACUGCAACUGACACUGAUGCUCGAAAGUGUGGGGUAUCAAACAGGAUUAGAUACCCUGGUAGUCCACACAGUAAACGAUGAAUACUCGCUGUUUGCGAUAUACAGUAAGCGGCCAAGCGAAAGCAUUAAGUAUUCCACCUGGGGAGUACGCCGGCAACGGUGAAACUCAAAGGAAUUGACGGGGGCCCGCACAAGCGGAGGAACAUGUGGUUUAAUUCGAUGAUACGCGAGGAACCUUACCCGGGCUUAAAUUGCAUUUGAAUAUAUUGGAAACAGUAUAGCCGUAAGGCAAAUGUGAAGGUGCUGCAUGGUUGUCGUCAGCUCGUGCCGUGAGGUGUCGGCUUAAGUGCCAUAACGAGCGCAACCCUUAUCUUUAGUUACUAACAGGUCAUGCUGCGGACUCUAGAGAGACUGCCGUCGUAAGACGUGAGGAAGGUGGGGAUGACGUCAAAUCAGCACGGCCCUUACGUCCGGGGCUACACACGUGUUACAAUGGGGGGUACAGAAGGCAGCUACCUGGUGACAGGAUGCUAAUCCCAAAAGCCUCUCUCAGUUCGGAUCGAAGUCUGCAACCCGACUUCGUGAAGCUGGAUUCGCUAGUAAUCGCGCAUCAGCCAUGGCGCGGUGAAUACGUUCCCGGGCCUUGUACACACCGCCCGUCAAGCCAUGAAAGCCGGGGGUACCUGAAGUACGUAACCGCAAGGAGCGUCCUAGGGUAAAACUGGUAAUUGG
rnacentral:rRNA from 1 species